UUCCUACAGCAGUUACUCCCAGAAAGACAAUAAGGCUGCUACCAGUGCAAGUGUGUUCAUGGUCUGUAGGAAUUUGGCUAGAUGCACCAGUAAUCUUGGAGAGCUCCAUUCAGCUCAUCACUGACCGCAUGUCACACAAUUGUCCAAAACAGAUGCGUUGUGUCAAACUGGUGAAAUGAACCCAUCUGUAAGAGAGGAAAGGGGACUUCAGAGAAGUUUGGGCUACAGGUGACUUAAGAAAAAUCCAGGUUGCAAGAGCUAAAAAAAGAAGCAUUUUUGUGCAAGGAACAUUGUGAAACUUCUCAUCAUAGCUGCUUUUGUAUCUGUGCUGGAUGAGGAAAAAAAACACAACAACAACUGUAUAUUUUGAAGACUCGUGCCUUGAGAUACAACUCAAAAGCUUAUCUGAAAGACAAAGCACCCCUUAUGCCUGGGAGAACGGAGAGGGAGGG